rnacentral:rRNA from 1 species
UCGAAAUCGAACGGAAGAACGACCCGCGAACCGUCUUUGCGUAACGAACCGAGCUCGCGAGCAGCAAACGCUCGCGCGUCUCGUGUCGCGUCGGCGCGGUCCUCGAAAGGGCCACGCCGCACCGACAAACUAACAAUGUCAGCACGGAUCGUGCCAAGGAGCUGUACAUGCGAGAGUCGCCGUCCCACGCCCCCGGUCCCCCUCGACUGGGGGCGGGUGACAUGCGCGAUCUCCGCUCUUAGUCUUAAUGACUCUCGGCAACGGAUAUCUCGGCUCUUGCAUCGAUGAAGAACGUAGCGAAAUGCGAUACUUGGUGUGAAUUGCAGAAUCCCGCGAACCAUCAAUUCUUUGAACGCAAGUUGCGCCCGAAGCCAUCCGGCCGAGGGCACGCCUGCCUGGGUGUCGUGAAUCCCCUUGCCCCCGGGCACCCGCACGAGCAUCGUCGCGGAUAUGCCCGGGCGCAGAAUAUGGUCUCCCGUCGGAUCGGCGUGCGCUGCACGUCGUGGGGCGGUUGGCCGAAAAUCGAGCAUUGCGACGUCGGGCUCCACGGCGUUCGGUGGAUCGAACGCGAUUGGCUGCGCCGUGGUCCCGUCAUGCCGCGGGCUCCGGACUACGACGAUUCCCGUG